UAUUCCAUCAAGUAGCCAAUGUUAGUCCAAAUUGACAUUUGUUUUGUUAUACACAUCGAAAAGUUGGAGAAGGAUUGCGAGACUCAGGAGGAUUUGUUUUUCUGUGCUGGUCAGUAUUGCCCAGAGACGCCGGUUAGCCUAUGGAAAUGAAGAAAGAUUUUAAAUCAUCCGGAUAUUAAGAAAAAAAAAAUCCUUCCCCGUUUACAAACAUACUGGCUAUGUCUUCUUAGGGAUACGAAAUCUCGAAUUGGUCAAAAUAUCAAGUUAACGAUACCUGGAAGAUAGGAAUUUAGCUGUAAAAUUCUAACUACCGUAAGGAAGUAUUCUCACCAAUCUUUCAUCGCAAAGUCCGUGAUAAAUAAUUGUAGUGAAUCGAGUGAAAUGAAUCUAUUGGAUUACGAAGAAUCCAUCGUAAUAAGAGCCGCUGGAUUCUUUCAGCAUGAAAAAAGGACUAGUGACUCCACGUAAGAUCUAUGUAUACAUUCCGUAUCCGGAUAUCCCACAAAGGAAAGAUCUCACUUAGAA